GUUAUAUGGUCAAGUGAAUAAGCGCAUACGGUGGAUGCCUAGGCGAUAAGAGGCGAAGAAGGACGUUGUAGGAUGCGAUAAGCCGCGGAGAGUUUUCAAACUAACUUUGACCCGCGGAUUUCCGAAUGGGGAAACCCAAUGGUCAUAAGGCCAUUAUCCUGACCUGAAUACAUAGGGUCAGAGAAGCGAACCGGGAGAACUGAAACAUCUAAGU
rnacentral:rRNA from 1 species